GGGAGCCAAGUUUUUUCUCCUUCAAAUACAGUUGCAGAGUUUGUUAGAGCCUAGAGGGUUUCGGACAGAAUCUCUGGUAACAGCUGCAGGCUGCACAGAGCAGCCUUAGGACACCACCUUUCUUCCCUGGAGUAUUCAGUACUGGAAAAAAAUAUCUCCAGAUGUGACCACAGGCAGUCUUCACAGCACUCGCAGGAGCUGCGUGGUCAUGCUGGGGUCUGAAUCCACCCAUAGAAAGGAUAAGGAAAUGCAUCCUAAAAGGAUGAGGAACCAGCCUUGAAAAGAUACUCUACAAGCAACCAGCAGGGCUUCAUCUUCCCCACAUUGAUAUUUGUCUGUGAAACUGCAACAUUGCUGUGUGCCUUGCAGUUCCAUCAGCCAUAACAUAAAGGCAGCACUUUCCUCACCAGUUUUCAACUCCAUGGAUAUACUACAAUGAUCUGUGCGGCUUUUACAUACUUUCCUUCUCAAAUUCCAGGUGGUCAUUCUCUUACUUAGGGGUGUUUCCUUGGAGUUUGGGGUUUUUUGUAAGAAUGAUUUUUAUAACUACACUUUUUCCAGAAAUUAGAAUGUGUCGUUACAGCCACACAACAAAUGUUUUAUAAAGAAGGUAAACUCUUCUAAAGCUAGUAUCCUCAUGUUGUGACACUUGAAUUACUGACCUCUGGCAGCAGCAUUAGGUCUCAUCAUGGCCAGAGGGGCCCUGACCCUUCUUCCAGGGCUGAUGGAGUGAUGCCACUCACAAACAAGAAUUGCCUGUGUGACUGCUACUCACCUGAACCUAAGGUGGUUUUACUUCAAUAAUAUGUCA